rnacentral:rRNA from 1 species
UACAGAGGGGGCAAGCGUUGUUCGGAAUUACUGGGCGUAAAGGGCGCGUAGGCGGCCUGCUAAGUCGAACGUGAAAUCCCUGGGCUCAACCCAGGAACUGCGUCCGAUACUGGUUGGCUUGAAUCCGGGAGAGGGACGUGGAAUUCCAGGUGUAGCGGUGAAAUGCGUAGAUAUCUGGAGGAACACCGGUGGCGAAGGCGACGUCCUGGACCGGCAUUGACGCUGCGGCGCGAAAGCCAGGGGAGCAAACGGG